AUACAGAGGGUGCGAGCGUUAAUCGGAAUUACUGGGCGUAAAGAGCACGUAGGUGGACAAGUAAGUUGGGUGUGAAAUCCCCGGGCUUAACCUGGGAAUGCCAUCCAAAACUGUUUGUCUAGAGUAUGGUAGAGGGAAGUGGAAUUUCCGGUGUAGCGGUGAAAUGCGUAGAUAUCGGAAGGAACACCAGUGGCGAAGGCGGCUUCCUGGACUAAUACUGACACUGAGGUGCGAAAGCGUGGGGAGCAAACAGGAUUAGAAACCCCAGUAGUCC
rnacentral:rRNA from 1 species